rnacentral:rRNA from 1 species
GAUGAACGCUGGCGGCGUGCCUAAUACAUGCAAGUCGAGCGAACAGACGAGGAGCUUGCUCCUCUGACGUUAGCGGCGGACGGGUGAGUAACACGUGGAUAACCUACCUAUAAGACUGGGAUAACUUCGGGAAACCGGAGCUAAUACCGGAUAAUAUAUUGAACCGCAUGGUUCAAUAGUGAAAGACGGUUUUGCUGUCACUUAUAGAUGGAUCCGCGCCGCAUUAGCUAGUUGGUAAGGUAACGGCUUACCAAGGCAACGAUGCGUAGCCGACCUGACAGGGUGAUCGGCCACACUGGAACUGAGACACGGUCCAGACUCCUACGGGAGGCAGCAGUAGGGAAUCUUCCGCAAUGGGCGAAAGCUUGACGGAGCAACGCCGCGUGAGUGAUGAAGGUCUUCGGAUCGUAAAACUCUGUUAUUAGGGAAGAACAAAUGUGUAAGUAACUAUGCACGUCUUGACGGUACCUAAUCAGAAAGCCACGGCUAACUACGUG